rnacentral:rRNA from 1 species
AUUGAACGCUGGCGGAAUGCUUUACACAUGCAAGUCGAACGGCAGCACGGACUUCGGUCUGGUGGCGAGUGGCGAACGGGUGAGUAAUGUAUCGGAACGUGCCCAGUCGUGGGGGAUAACGUAGUGAAAAUUACGCUAAUACCGCAUACGAUCUAUGGAUGAAAGCGGGGGAUCGCAAGACCUCGCGCGAUUGGAGCGGCCGAUAUCAGAUUAGGUAGUUGGUGGGGUAAAGGCCCACCAAGCCAACGAUCUGUAGCUGGUCUGAGAGGACGACCAGCCAUACUGGAACUGAGACACGGUCCAGACUCCUACGGGAGUCAGCAGUGGGGAAUUUUGGACAAUGGGCGAAAGCCUGAUCCAGCCAUUCCGCGUGAAGGAUGAAGGCCCUCGGGUUGUAAACUGCUUUUGUACAGAACGAAAAGGUUUCUACUAAUACUAGGAGCUCAUGACGGUACUGUAAGAAUAAGCACCGGUUAACUACGUGCCAGCCGCCGCGGUAA